rnacentral:rRNA from 1 species
AAUGAACGCUGGCGGCGUGCUUAACACAUGCAAGUCGAACGAGAAAGCCGAAAGCUUGCUUUUGGCGAGUAAAGUGGCGCACGGGUGAGUAACGCGUGGGUAAUCUACCUCCGAAUUUGGGAUAACACUUCGAAAGGAGUGCUAAUACCGGAUAACAUCCAUUGUACUUUGGUAUGGUGGAUCAAAGAUAGCCGCUUCGUGAAAGCUAUUGUUUGGAGAUGAGCCCGCGUCCCAUUAGCUUGUUGGUAGGGUAACGGCCUACCAAGGCAGCGAUGGGUAGCUGGUCUGAGAGGAUGGCCAGCCACACUGGAACUGGAACACGGUCCAGACUCCUACGGGAGGCAGCAGUGAGGAAUUUUGCGCAAUGGGGGCAACCCUGACGCAGCAACGCCGCGUGAGUGAUGAAGGCCUUCGGGUCGUAAAGCUCUGUCAAGUGGGAAGAACGUAUCAUAUGUGAACAGCGUAUGGUAUUGACGGUACCACUGAAGGAAGCACCGGCUAACUCCGUGCCAGCAGCCGCGGUAAUACGGAGGGUGCAAGCGUUAUUCGGAUUUACUGGGCGUAAAGGGCGCGUAGGCGGUUGAUCAAGUCAGAUGUGAAAGCCCGGGGCUCAACCCCGGAAGUGCAUCUGAAACUGGUCGGCUUGAGUAUGGUAGAGGGAAGUGGAAUUCCUGGUGUAGCGGUGAAAUGCGUAGAUAUCAGGAGGAACACCGGUGGCGAAGGCGACUUCCUGGACCAAAACUGACGCUGAGGCGCGAAGGUGUGGGGAGCAAACAGGAUUAGAUACCCUGGUAGUCCACACAGUAAACGGUGAUCACUAGGUGUUGCGGGUGUUGACCCCUGCAGUGCCGCAGUUAACGCAUUAAGUGAUCCGCCUGGGGAGUACGGUCGCAAGAUUAAAACUCAAAGGAAUUGACGGGGGCCCGCACAAGCGGUGGAGUAUGUGGUUUAAUUCGACGCAACGCGAAGAACCUUACCUGGGCUUGACAUCUGGGGAGCCCUUAUGAAAGUAGGGGGUGCCCUUCGGGGAGCCCCAAGACAGGUGCUGCAUGGCUGUCGUCAGCUCGUGUCGUGAGA